CAAGUUGAUGAAUUAGGAACAAUCCUUUGUCUGUUUUACAGGUGAAAAGAUGAUACCAAAAAAAGGUGAAGAAAGUGGGGUGGCAAAAAUUAAGUGACUAGACCAAGAUGACAUAUAACAUAAGACCAUAGAGAAGCAGUCAUUAUUUUUGUGGCUUAGAGUCUGGGUAUGUUUUUCCUUGUUGUUGGUCCGGAUUUGAAAGAAGUAAGCCCAAGGCAAAAACAAAGUUGGAAAAAUUUCAAGGUAAGUAUCUCCUUUCAACAUCUUUCAAUCAACAUGUAUUAAAUACCCAUAAAGUACUACAAUAUAUGAGGCCUGAGGGUAUAGAAAUGUGUAAAAUGGAAAGAAAAAACUCUUGACCUUAGAAAAACUUAAAAGAACAAUUCACAUACUGAACUAAUAGAAUUUCUUUGGAAUUUUCUGGUUUCUAAC